AUUGAACGCUGGCGGCAUGCUUUACACAUGCAAGUCGAACGGUAACAGGGUGCUUGCACCGCUGACGAGUGGCGAACGGGUGAGUAAUGCGUCGGAACGUGCCGAGUAGUGGGGGAUAACGCAGCGAAAGUUGUGCUAAUACCGCAUACGUACUGAGGUAGAAAGUGGGGGACCUUCGGGCCUCACGCUAUUCGAGCGGCCGACGUCUGAUUAGCGAGUAGGUGAGGUAAAGGCUCACCUAGGCGACGAUCAGUAGCGGGUCUGAGAGGAUGAUCCGCCACACUGGGACUGAGACACGGCCCAGACUCCUACGGGAGGCAGCAGUGGGGAAUUCUGGACAAUGGGCGAAAGCCUGAUCCAGCCAUGCCGCGUGUCUGAAGAAGGCCUUCGGGUUGUAAAGGACUUUUGUCAGGGAGGAAAUCCCUAGUGCUAAUAACACUGGGGGAUGACAGUACCUGAAGAAUAAGCACCGGCUAACUACGUGCCAGCCGCCGCAGUAA
rnacentral:rRNA from 1 species